rnacentral:rRNA from 1 species
AUGAAGCCACUAUCUUUUGUUCUCCACCUUGCUUCGUUCCUUGCGCUCUUGCUCCACCAGCCUCAUCUGCUUGCAGCGCAGAGGCUCACAACUGGAUUGACACUCAGCCCCCCUGGCUACAUCACCUCCCCGUCAGGGGAAUUUGCCUUCGGCUUCCGGGCCCUCGACUCUGACCCCAGCCAGUUCCUCCUUGCUGUCUGGUUCAACUUCAACUUCACCCAGGCACCCGACCCUGCACAGGAGAAGGUGGUGUGGUAUGCCAAGAACCUGGGUUCAGGCUCGGCCGUAAUGGCCACGGAGUUGUCCGUGUUCAGCAUCGGUCCCCAGCUCUCCCUCACUGACAACACCGGUAGCAUAAUAUGGACGAACCCAUACCCUAGCCUACAAGCCGGCUCAAUUCUCGCGCUGCAAGACUCAGGCAACCUCCAGUUACUCGCCACCAGGGGAAUGCCCAUCACCUGGGAGAGCUUCCAGCACCCAACUGACACACUCCUCCCAGGUCAAUCGUUGGGCUCUGGAAAGGCUCUUCUGUCCAGGCACUCCGACAUGGUCUUCUUCCCCGGCCGCUACAGCCUGCAGGUGCAAGGCGAUGGUAACAUCGUCCUGUACCUCACGAACCUCGCCACCGGCAACCUGGAUUUGCACAACGCAUAUUGGAGCACUAACACCUACCAGCCAGACAACCAGGUCGGCAACAUGACUAUUUUCUUUGACUCAUCGGGCCAUCUGUACUAUCAGAGCAAUGACAGCACUGUGGUUGACCUGAUACCCCCGCAUCCAAAGUCUAGGUUUUGGUUACCACCAGCACGCAUCACUCGAUCCGGAUGGCAUCUUCCGCAUGUACACCCGACCGAAGAACGCCAUGGGAAGGAGCAACUUGUCGUGGGCAGUCACGGGACAGUUCCCAACCGAAGGUUGCAAGAUAAAAACCUCUAUGCAAGGUUUGUGUGGCCCCAACUCAUACUGUGUGUAUGGUCCUAA